rnacentral:tRNA from 1 species
GGCUAUGUAGCUCAGUUGGUUAGAGCGCAGCAUUCAUAAUGCUGAUGUCCCUGGUUCGAGUCCUGGCAUAGCCA